rnacentral:miRNA from 1 species
CUGCUCCCUCCCGGCUGCCUG